CAAAAUUUCAGCCAAAUCGGAGGGUUACACUUCACACCAUCGCAUUUGGUGGGAAUUGAUGAUAUUUGCCGUCACACGUAAAAAAGCAUGAAUUUCGUUUGGGAAAAUUGUGAAAUGAACAAUUUUAAAUUGCUUUUGUUCACGUGCGCCAAAAAAUUAUUAAAAAUAAACCUUUCCUUGCCAUGAUUUAGCGGAAACUUAGCUUGCCCAUUGUUAAUGUGUGCAUGAAUGUUAUCAUGAAUUCCCUUGUGAGCUGUUAUGCAAAAGAAUUACUUGCUCUCAGUGACAGAAGGACAUUAUCUUUAUCCUAAAAACUAAUACUAAAAUGGAGAGAAACAAUUUCAGCCGGUGCCCUUGAACCACCUUCGAGUCAAAUUGACAAGGAAUUACCCAAAAUCUUGGACUUUCAAGCAACCCAGGUGAAAAUAUGCAUCCAAGUUUCUUUCUCCUUGAAUUGUCUAAAUAGGUUGGAUGUCCGUCUCUGAUUUUCUCAUCAUCGUCUCAUUUCUUACUCCAACUUCACUCAGCACAUCUCAUUUUCUCCAUGAUUUCCCAUUCCAUGAUUCCAGUUAUGCACCAUCAUAUAAUUCAAACGUGAAUCUCUCUCUGAUUUGUUAAGCAGAAUUUCGAGAUAUUUUGGUUAAUAAAAGUCCAAGGGAAUCAACCAGAAAAACCUAAAUUAGUAGAGCUUUGCAUAGCCCGAACCAGGAUUGGCUUUUGUACAAAAUUUCAGAUUUCUACUACAAUUUUGAAAUUUUGGUGCAUAAUUCUCCACCCCGACGACUGGUCGACUGGACCGAUGUCGCCCAUCUUCGAACUCGUUUCUUAACUUUGUCCAAUAUAUGCUUUUGGUAAAAGUUUCAAUUCUUUCGAGAAUUAUCGAAAGACGGACGGACUUGACAACUGCAUAAGCCCUGAUUCGGGCUAAAACCGAAAAAAAAGUUACAUUUCACAUAAAAUAUUUUAUUCUUAUGCUUGUAAUAAAUUCUAUAUUUCAUAAUUUAAACAUUGUGUAUGAUUUAAUCUCUAAUUGUAAAUAAAACGAUGCAAAUGUUAAAAAAAAUUCUGUAAAAUUUUCCAUAAUAAAAUAUCUCAAUUUUGCUCAUCGUAGCUAAAAUUGACUAAAAAUCCGCACAAUUUCAGCAUCACAAAAACUCCUAUAAACGGAAAAGGGGAAAAGGACUAUAAAACCGAGUGGGUUAUAAAUUCUCGGGAUGAUGACAAAGGGUGAAUCUUGCUUUAGCUGUAAAUAUGCUGAAUGAAAUUGUUGUUUCGCUGUUAACUCGCGAUUAUUAGAAAAUUCUUGAUUAGAAAAUUACUCAAAAUAAU